UUAAAGGAAAAUAGGGUUUCAUAUAACACAGUAUCAAAAAGUAGACGGAAGGGACUAAAUGCACCAAUUGGUGGCAGGUAAGUCCACAGCCUAUUGUGACAUGUCCUUCCAGCAUCGAUCACGUUUCUUCUCAUGUUUUCUCAAGGUUGUUGUAUAGAUGUGGUGACUUUAACAAGAGUCUAACAGGUGGGCAGGCAGGCAGGCAGGCUUCAAUCAUUGGUUUCAGGAUCUGUCUGUGCCAUGUAGGCAUCCAAUUCAGCAUCCAGGUGUCCUUUAGUUUUCGACAUGUAUGCAUCCAAUUGGUUGUCCAGCUGCUCCUUGGUCAAUACAGGGCGAGUGAGGGCACCUCUCCCUCGGCCACGACCUCGGCCUCUGCCUCCAAAGCCCCCUCUUCCCCGACCUAUCAUACCCCGACCUGGCCAAACAAGACAAAGAGAGAGAAGAAAAAG
rnacentral:lncRNA from 1 species